UCAAGCGAGAGAGGGCGUAUGGUGGAUGCCUAGGAGCCGCAGGGCGAAGAAGGCCGUGACAAGCUGCGAGAAGCGACGGGGAGGAGCACAUAUCCGAAGAUCCGUUGAUGGCCGAAUGGGGUAACCCACCUGAGCGAUCAGGUAUUGUUGACUGAAUAGAUAGGUCAGUAAGGCGAGACCCGGGGAACUGAACCAUCUCAGUACCCGGAGGAGAAGAAAUCAAGCGAGAUUCCCUUAGUAGCGGCGAGCGAAGGGGGAAGAGCCCAAACCCAUACUGGUGUAAGGUGCACGCCGUUGCCAGCGGGGGGUAGCAGGAGCUGUUUGGAGGGACGUGCAGGACCUCGCGAAGGGAGAAGGGUGCGACGUAGGAGAACGGCAUGGGAAGGCCGGCCGAAGGGGGUGAGAGCCCCGUAACCGAAACGGAUGCACACUUCGUGGGACAGCCACCUAAGUACGGCGAGGCUCGAGAAACCUUGUCGGAAGCAGGGUCGACCACGAUCCAAGGCUAAAUACGAUGCGGCGACCGAUAGUGAAGAAGUACCGUGAGGGAAAGGCGAAAAGAACCCCGGUGAGGGGAGUGAAAGAGAACCUGAAACCAUAUGCCCACAACAGGUCGGAGGGGGGAGUGAUCCUCCUGACGGCGUGCCUUUUGUAGAAUGAGCCUGCGAGUUACGGUGACGAGCGAGGUUAAGGGAUGGGAGUCCCGGAGCCGGAGGGAAACCGAGUCUGAAGAGGGCGGUGUGAGCGGAAGCUCACAAGAGUUCGUUGUCGUAGACCCGAAGCCAGGUGAUCUUAUUACGGUCAGGCUGAAGCUCAGGUAACACUGUGUGGAGGGCCGAACUCUAGUGUGUUAAAAAACGCAGGGAUGAACCGUGAUAAGGGGUGAAAGGCUAAACAAACCUGGAAAUAGCUGGCACUCCCCGAAAUGCCUUGAGGGACAGCCUCAUACAACUAUCACGGAGGUAGAGCACUGUUUGGACUAGGGCUCUUCACCGGGUACCAAACCCAGGCAAACUGCGAAUGCCGUGACAGAACGUAUGGGAGUGAGACUGCGGGCGAUAAGGUUCGUAGUCGAGAGGGGAACAGCCCAGACCGACAGCUAAGGUCCCGAAAUACCGCUGAGUGUAAAAUGAGGUGCGAUUGCGAAGACAGCCAGGAGGUUGGCUUAGAAGCAGCAAUUCCUUGAAAGAGUGCGUAACAGCUCACUGGUCGAGCAAUGGUGCGCAGACAAUGUAACGGGGCUAUGCGGUAUACCGAAGCUUCGGAUUCUAUGCGAGAGCAUAGGGUGGUAGGGGAGCAUUCCAUGGACCGGAGAAGGUGAUCCGAGAGGGUUGCUGGAGGGGAUGGAAGAGAGAAUGCAGGUAUAAGUACACGAAAAGACGGGUGAGAUUCCCGUCCGCCGAAAACCUAAGGUUUCCUGGGUAAAGGUCAUCUGCCCAGGGUUAGUCGGUCCCUAAGAUGAGGCUGAAAGGCGUAGUCGAUGGGAAUCUGGUUCAUAUUCCAGAACCAUAUACAGAUUCGAAGGGAUGACGCAUGAGGUGACACACAUGCCGGAGGACGGUUGAUCCGGUUGACGUGGUGAGCCAGUGAGGUGGCUAGGGAAAACCGGCUGCUGAGGUGAACUGCGGAGGGAGCGAGGCUACGGCUGAGCGAAGGGUGUGGAAUCAGGGUGCCAAGAAAGAGUCUCUAAGGAUAAUCUGUAUAUGACCGUACCGUAAACCGACACAGGUAGGUGGGAUGAGAAAUCUAAGGCGCUCGAGAGAACUCGCGUUAAGGAACUCGGCAAAAUGCACACGUAACUUCGGGAGAAGUGUGGCCCACGGAAGUGGGUUGCAGAGAGCAGGCCCAGGCGACUGUUUACCAAAAACACAGGACUCUGCGAACGCGCAAGCGGACGUAUAGGGUCUGACGCCUGCCCGGUGCUGGAAGGUUAAGAGGAGGGGUUAGCGCAAGCGAAGCUCUGAAUUGAAGCCCCAGUAAACGGCGGCCGUAACUAUAACGGUCCUAAGGUAGCGAAAUUCCUUGUCGGGUAAGUUCCGACCCGCACGAAUGGUGGAACGAUCUGGGCACUGUCUCGACGCGAGACUCGGUGAAAUUUAAGUACCGGUAAAGAUGCCGGUUACCCGUGGUUAGACGGAAAGACCCCAUGAACCUUUACUGUAGCUUACCAUGGGGACUUGGCCUGACAUGUGUAGGAUAGGUGGGAGACUUUGAAGCAUGGCCGCCAGGCUGUGUGGAGUCGUCGGUGAAAUACCACUCUUGUCAGGCUAGGUUUCUAACGCAGUUUGUCAAUCCAGGCUGCGGACAGUGGUAGGUGGGCAGUUUGACUGGGGCGGUCGCCUCCUAAACAGUAACGGAGGUGCGCGAAGGUCGCCUUGCGCUGGGUGGAAAUCAGCGCGCAAAGUGUAAAGGCAUAAGGCGGCUUGACUGCGAGUCCGACAGGACGAGCAGGUACGAAAGUAGGUCUUAGUGAUCUGGCGGUCGCGAGUGGAAGCGCCGUCACUUAACGGAUAAAAGGUACUCUGGGGAUAACAGGCUGAUCUUGCCCAAGAGUUCACAUCGACGGCAAGGUUUGGCACCUCGAUGUCGGCUCAUCGCAUCCUGGGGCUGGAGCAGGUCCCAAGGGUUUGGCUGUUCGCCAAUUAAAGCGGUACGUGAGCUGGGUUCAGAACGUCGUGAGACAGUUCGGUCCCUAUCUGCCACGGGCGUUGGAUGGUUGAGAGGAGCUGCUUUUAGUACGAGAGGAUCGAAGUGGACGAACCUCUGGUGUACCAGUUAUCCUGCCAAGGGUAAGUGCUGGGUAGCCACGUUCGGAAGGGAUAACCGCUGAAAGCAUCUAAGUGGGAAGCCCACCUCAAGAUGAACCAUCCCUGGGGUGCGCCGGCGACGGCGAAACCCCCUGAAGGUACCAGAGAGACUAUCUGGUUGAUAGGCUGGAGGUGGAAGCGCGGUAACGCGUGGAGCCGACCAGUACUAAUCUACCGUGAGGCUUGACCAU
rnacentral:rRNA from 1 species